rnacentral:rRNA from 1 species
GUGGGGAAUAUUGCGCAAUGGGCGAAAGCCUGACGCAGCCACGCCGCGUGAGCGAUGAAGGCCUUCGGGUCGUAAAGCUCUGUGGGGAGAGACGAAGAAAGCCUGUGAAGAGCAGGCCUUGACGGUAUCUCCUUAGCAAGCACCGGCUAACUCCGUGCCAGCAGCCGCGGUAAUACGGAGGGUGCAAACGUUGCUCGGAAUCAUUGGGCGUAAAGCGCACGUAGGCGGCGAAGCAAGUUGGGUGUGAAAGCCCUGGGCUCAACCCAGGAAGUGCAUUCAAAACUGCUUCGCUUGAAUCUCGGAGGGGGUCAGAGAAUUCCCGGUGUAGAGGUGAAAUUCGUAGAUAUCGGGAGGAAUACCAGUGGCGAAGGCGCUGACCUGGACGAAGAUUGACGCUGAGGUGCGAAAGCGCGGGGAGCAAACAGGAUUAGAAACCCUUGUAGUCC